rnacentral:lncRNA from 1 species
CUCCUUUUCCAACCUUGAUGCUAAUCUCCGAGAGCCAAUAUCUCUUCAUUUCACCAUUCGAUUGAUCUCAAAAUUCUCAUACACAUAGAAAAACAAGUCUAAUAUCCUUUCACACAAAUUCCAUUCCAAUCCAAUUAGUAGAUUUCAAGAAAUAUUUAAAACCAUCACUAGACUUAAAAUUCUACUUUUUAAGACCUUGACCUGCUUAAACCUCAAUAAUCCUCAAAUCAACCGUUAGAUAGAGCUAAGAUUUACAACACACAUUAAGCACAACUAUG